rnacentral:rRNA from 1 species
UUAGAUACCNUGGUAGUCCACGCUGUAANCGAUGAUUACUAGGUGUGGGGGGACCAAGGUUCUUCGGUGCCGUCGCAAACGCAUUAAGUAAUCCACCUGGGGAGUACGUUCGCNAAGAAUGAAACUCAAAAGGAAUUGACGGGGACCCGCACAAGCGGUGGAGGCAUGUGGUUUAAUUCGAAGCAACGCGAAGAACCUUACCUGGUCUUGACAUCCCGAUGACGAGUGAGCAAAGUCACUUUCCCUUCGGGGCAUUGGAGACAGGUGGUGCAUGGUUGUCGUCAGCUCGUGUCGUGAGAUGUUGGGUUAAGUCCCGCAACGAGCGCAACCCCUAUUUCCAGUAGCCAGCAAGAAAGAUGGGAACUCUGGAGAGACUGCCCGGGAUAACUGGGAGGAAGGCGGGGAUGACGUCAAAUCAUCAUGCCCCUUAUGAUCAGGGCUACACACGUGCUACAAUGGCGUAAACAAAGGGAAGCGAAGUGGUGACACGAAGCAAAUCCGAAAAACAACGUCUCAGUUCGGAUUGUAGUCUGCAACUCGACUACAUGAAGCUGGAAUCGCUAGUAAUCGCGAAUCAGAAUGUCGCGGUGAAUACGUUCCCGGGUCUUGUACACACCGCCCGUCACACCAUGGGAGUCGGGAAUGCCCGAAGCCGGUGGCCCGAUCGAAAGAAGGGAGCCGUCGAAGGCAGGCCGGAUGACUGGGGUGAAGUCGUAACAAGG